UGGGGAAUCUUGCACAAUGGACGAAAGUCUGAUGCAGCAACGCCGCGUGGGGGAUGAAGCUUCUCGGAGUGUAAACCCCUUUCGACCCGGACGAAUGCCCGCAAGGGCUUGACGGUACGGGUAUAAGAAGCCCCGGCUAACUACGUGCCAGCAGCCGCGGUAAUACGUAGGGGGCCAGCGUUGCUCGGAAUUACUGGGCGUAAAGGGUCCGUAGGCGGUGCGGCAAGUCGGAUGUGAAAUCUCUGGGCUUAACCCAGAGGCUGCUUCCGAAACUGCCGCGCUAGAGGAUGAGAGAGGCGAGUGGAAUUGCGGGUGUAGCGGUGAAAUGCGUAGAUAUCCGCAGGAACAUCCGAGGCGAAGGCGGCUCGCUGGAUCAUUUCUGACGCUGAGGGACGAAAGCUAGGGGAGCAAACAGGAUUAGAUACCCCGGUAGUCC
rnacentral:rRNA from 1 species